rnacentral:rRNA from 1 species
GACGAACGCUGGCGGCGUGCCUAAUACAUGCAAGUCGAGCGAAGAGACUCUGAUGCUUGCACCGGAAAGAUUUCGCGGCGCACGGGAGUAAAACAUGUAUAACACAUGCAUAAUAGAGGGAUAACACCGUGGAAACGGAUCGAAAAUCCCGGAAAAUAGCGUAACCCGUGGGGCAGAAGUUUAAAAGUGUGUUUUGGUCACACAAAGAGAUGUCUUUGCGGUGCAUUAGCUAGUUGGUGGGGUAAGGGCCUACCAAGGCGACGAUGCAUAGCCGACCUGAGAGGGUGAUCGGCCACACUGGGACUGAGACACGGCCCAGACUCCUACGGGAGGCAGCAGUAGGGAAUCUUCCGCAAAGGGCGAAAGCCUGACGGAGCAACGCCGCGUGAGUGAAGAAGGACUUCGGUUCGUAAAGCUCUGUUGUUAGGGAAGAAUGAAUGUGUAGUAAAUUAAGCCAGUAGUGACGGUACCUAAUCAGAAAGCCACGGCUAACUACGUG